GUGGGGAAUAUUGGACAAUGGGCGAAAGCCUGAUCCAGCCAUGCCGCGUGUGUGAAGAAGGUCUUCGGAUUGUAAAGCACUUUAAGUUGGGAGGAAGGGCAGUAAGUUAAUACCUUGCUGUUUUGACGUUACCGACAGAAUAAGCACCGGCUAACUUCGUGCCAGCAGCCGCGGUAAUACGAAGGGUGCAAGCGUUAAUCGUAAUUACUGGGCGUAAAGCGCGCGUAGGUGGUUUUGUAAGUUGGAGGUGAAAUCCCCGGGCUCAACCUGGGAACUGCCUCCAAAACUGCAUGACUAGAGUACGGUAGAGGGUAGUGGAAUUUCCUGUGUAGCGGUGAAAUGCGUAGAUAUAGGAAGGAACACCAGUGGCGAAGGCGACUACCUGGACUGAUACUGACACUGAGGUGCGAAAGCGUGGGGAGCAAACAGGAUUAGAAACCCUGGUAGUCC
rnacentral:rRNA from 1 species